GAUGAACCUGAAAGUAGUUGAUCCCAUUAAUUAAGGUUCUUCCUGUUCCUCAAAGUAUAUUCAGCUGCUGGAGAGUAAGUUGGUGCUUUCUACUUUGCAUACCAUCAUAUUAAUACCCUUCCCAAAAUGAUGUUCAGCACUAUCAACAACAGAAGUGUUGGAACAGUAACCGUAGUGUUGAAGAUUUUCGUUACAUUGAGCUAUUCGGAGGACAUGUAAUCCCACAGAGUUUGAGAAGAUUUAAAUUGAAAUUGCCCAAUGAAGAUAUUCCUGCAGGAAACUUCAUCCAGCAGUAGGAUUAAUCCACAAGCAGAUUGACUUUCCCCAUUGAAUUCAAGAGCAGCUCUGAAAUCUCUUGCUGGCUCCACCUGGGUACAAUGAGAGGGCUGAUUUAGAAGUACUUCAAUAAUUAAGAUACGCUUCAAAGAAGAAUGGGAUGCAGAGUAGUUACAUAUGACUUAAACAACUGGAUUUGCCUGGCAAGCAGCUUGCUCUGCCAGCUGGAGCUGAUUAAUUGAGCUAAUGUCUAAUUGCUUCUUAAAACAUGUUAACCAGGUGUUGCUCCCGAUCCGGUCUUUAGCAAUAGACCAGAAUUGAAUUUGAGAUUUUCUCUCUGGGGUCAGCAACAAGAGGGAUGCAAAGGUCAGAUGCUUCACGUAACUGCAUUCCUUCAAAUCCAUCAUAAAAGUAUCCCUCUGCUUAGCAGAGAGAGGAAAUCUUCAUCUCAUGACUAUAGAUGUAAAAUGUUCCAAGUGUGACGAGCAUGCUAAAUCCCACACUAUUUCUGUCCAUGUUGUGUUUGAAUUUAUUAUACACAGUGCCUACAAAAAAAUGACCUGCCUGCUGUUUUUAGUCCCUUUCCUCUGAGGACUAUUUUUCAGUUCUUUGGGACUGAUUUUCAUAACCAAAAAUUACAACAUAUUUAGGAAGAAAUGUGUAGUAAUUAUGAGUUAAUGUCACUGUACUAGCAGACAUUUAGAAUCAUACAUAAUGGAA